CAGACAUAAUCAACAGGUUACAGGAGGGGCUACUGAUGUUCACGGAGGUGGUGCUGACACAUGCAUACUGAACAAACACGCAUGCAGCAUAUGAGCCCUGUUCACUUACCAGUGGUGACUGAGCAUUUAAAUUCAUUACAGACAGGUCCUAUGUGCAAAUAGCAGAAGCAGAGACACAAAGGCGCUCAGUGUGCAGCCUCUGUAAACGGCCAGAGCCAGGCCAUGGGAUGCAGGCGCUGUGGUGUGUCUGUACGUCUCUAACCCAGCUUUAAAGAGGAGUGAAGCACCAACAUAGGCUGAGACUUGGAUAAGCCUUGAAAACACUGGGUGAGUGAACUGAGGUAGACACGCAAGUCCACAUCCUGAAAUGUCCCAUUGACAUGAAGCAUGCAGAGGAGGAAAAUCCCAGAUCACAGGAGGUCAGGGGAAGGGAAAUGGAGAGUGACCACGUAAUGGAGGGUGAACAUAUUGUGUGAAGAUUAUUUGUCAAUAUUACUGCAUUAAAACUAUUCCAAAUAAAAGUGUAUAAUUUGGUUAAAAAAAAAAAAGAUGAAGAGAGAAAUAAAAACAAUACCAGAAAAGUCAUGAACUGCUGAA